ACAUGGGUAUGUAAUGGCGAAAUGGAGGUUGAUAUUAUCCAAACAUUCUAUCUGCUCCAAGAAUGCAUGGGCCCAGUAUGCCAUUCUGAUCUUCCAAGAUGGUGAUGAGUUCAUCUAAUCAUUUGCUGUUUUUUUUUUUCCUUCAAGGCAAAGGAACUGAUAACUAACUGGAUCUGGCGGUGGAGCCAAGCUGGGUAAGUUUGCUUGUGUGUGACGUGUGUGCCAUGGCAUGCAGAGACAAGUGCCAAUAAUUGUGCAUGCAUCUGAUGCACCUUCCUGCAUGCGCCUGGACCAGCUGGCUGUCUGAAAUUUAUUUAUUUUCUUGCAUGCCCCUGCUACGCUAUGCAUGCAUGCUAUGCUUAGUUAGCUAGGGCUAGCUACAUGAUGUUAGCCAUGUGGACUCAUGAAACAUUGUACCCGUUUGCAAAAGACAAGCUAAAUCUGUGUCGCUGAUAAUUAACACUUAUUAUGGAUUGGGUUAUCAUUUAACACCGCACACUCGAAUCCGUAUGCAAAUUAUUCAUAUUUCAGCGUGUUUAAUGUGUAUGUGCA
rnacentral:lncRNA from 1 species